AGGAGCUUACAUUUGGUAUCGGAGCGGUCUCGGGUCCGACUCUGUUAGUUGGCUAGGGGAAUCACACCACAUGUUGAUUGACAUCUGGCUGGUCCAAUUUGCUCCCGCUGGGCUCGACCCAAGGGAGAGUUGCGGCUCUCAGCUUCUGUUCACGAGGGCAUGAACUUGCAAAGAAGCGUGGUGGAUUAUAAGCAACUAAAGGGAACCGGGUCCGACUCUGUUAGUUGGCUAGGGGAAUCACACCACAUGUUGAUUAACAUCUGGCUGGUCCAGUUUGCUCCCGCUAGGCUUGACCCAAGGGAGAGCUGCGGCUCUCAGCUUCCGUUCACGAGGGCAUGAACUUGUAGGGAAGCGUGGUGAAUUAUAAGCAACUAAAGGGAACGAUUCAAGAGGCGAUCCGUUAGGGUUCAAAUAUAGAGGGAAAGGGCCCAUGAACAAGAGUGCACCC
rnacentral:lncRNA from 1 species